CCUACGGGAGGCAGCAGUGAGGAAUAUUGGACAAUGGGCGCAAGCCUGAUCCAGCCAUGCCGCGUGCAGGAAGAAGCAUCUAUGGUGUGUAAACUGCUUUUGUACAGGAAGAAACACUCCCUCGUGAGGGAGCUUGACGGUACUGUAAGAAUAAGGACCGGCUAACUCCGUGCCAGCAGCCGCGGUAAUACGGAGGGUCCGAGCGUUAUCCGGAAUCAUUGGGUUUAAAGGGUCCGUAGGCGGUUUAAUAAGUCAGUGGUGAAAUCUGGUCGCUCAACGAUCAAACGGCCAUUGAUACUGUUAGACUUGAAUUAUAAGGAAGUAACUAGAAUAUGUAGUGUAGCGGUGAAAUGCUUAGAUAUUACAUGGAAUACCAAUUGCGAAGGCAGGUUACUACUUAUGGAUUGACGCUGAUGGACGAAAGCGUGGGGAGCGAACAGGAUUAGAUACCCUGGUAGUCCACGCCGUAAACGAUGGAUACUAGCUGUUCGGAGCAAUCUGAGUGGCUAAGCGAAAGUGAUAAGUAUCCGACCUGGGGAGUACGUUCGCAAGAAUUGAAACUUCAAAUGAAUUGACCGGNNGNGAGNGNGAGAGACGACGAGGGAGGAGG
rnacentral:rRNA from 1 species